AGCUGAGAACUCACUUAGCUGUCAGAAUAUCAGAAUCAUUGAUUACAACUCUCGCAAGUUUUGUGCAUAUAAAUCCCAAUCAACUAAAAAUCAAUUGCCAAUAAGCAAAUUAUCAUCGAAAUAUGAAGAUAUCGGCAACUUCGACCUCCCAUUCCGAGGCACAACGCACGUUUUUCAUUGUUUUCUGUGGCGCGCUCCGGUCCCGAACACCAGAAGAUGGCCACCAUUUUUACAAUGAAAAAUCAGCCAGGCGAAAGUUUUAAAUAUGGUUUCAUAGAAUGUUUUGCGCUUUCUUCUUGAAAAGUGCUUAAUUUUCUUAAAAUUAAAAAUGAAAUCAGCUUCAUUGAAAAUAUCUUUUUUAUUUGAAAGUUAUUUUUCUUCGGUUCCUAACGAUAAAUUAAAAAAUGUCUCAUUCAAUCUAAAAACUAUUUUACUUUCAAAACAUCAAACGAUACACUGCAUGGGUGAAAAAGAGAAAAGAAAACAUCUUGUCAUUUAUCUUAUCAUCUUUUUCUUUUCCUCUCAGUGUAUGACGACAAUUUAAACCGCGAUAAAAACAAAACAGCAGCGACGACGAGUAGAGGAAGCUAGCCGCCACUGGCACUGCUUCCGAUUUAUAAUUGCAACUGUUUUGUGUGGUGGCGAAUUAAAUUUUUGCUACUAUUGUGUACUGGUGGAGCUCAUAUUUAUUACGGAAUCAAAAGAUUCGGUCCGGUAGAUUUGACAGGAAGAAAAACUGACACGUUCAAAAAUGCAUCUUCAGGAGUGGCUGGGGUCAAUGGAUUACCUCGUCGGUAGUUUUGGAAACUACCACAGCUUCUCUCGGGCUGAACGAUGAAUAACUUGAGAUUUUGAGGACACCUGUCACAUGUGCGCUAUUCAAUCUUCCCAGAUUAAUGAAUAGGUUUAAAAUAAAUUGAAAAUGAAAUAAAAAUAAAAAUCGAUUCAAUUAAGUUUCAAAAGAAA